GGUUGUAGCUCAGUGGUAGAGCACUUGCCUAGCAUGUGUGAAGCACUGGGUUUGAUCCUCAGCACCA
rnacentral:tRNA from 1 species